rnacentral:rRNA from 1 species
AUUGAACGAUGGCGGCAGGCCUAACACAUGCAAGUCGAGCGAACGGCGGACGGGUGAGUAAUGUCUGGGAAACUGCCUGAUGGAGGGGGAUAACUACUGGAAACGGUAGCUAAUACCGCAUACCAUCAGAUGUGCCCAGAUGGGAUUAGCUAGUAGGUGGGGUAACGGCUAACCUAGGAGACGAUCCCUAGCUGGUCUGAGAGGAUGACCAGACACACUGGAACUGAGACACGGGCCAGACUCCUACGGGAGGCAGCAGUGGGUAAUAUUGCACAAUGGGCGCAAGCCUGAUGCAGCCAGGCCGCGUGUGUGAAGAAGGCCGGCGGGUUGUAAAGCACUUUCAGCGGGGAGGCGUUACACGCAGAAGAAGCACCGGCUAACUCCGUGCCAGCAGCCGCGGUAAUAC